UACGAAGGGGGCUAGCGUUGCUCGGAAUUACUGGGCGUAAAGCGCACGUAGGCGGCUUGUUAAGUCGGGGGUGAAAUCCUGGAGCUCAACUCCAGAACUGCCUUUGAUACUGGGGAUCUCGAGUCCGGAAGAGGUGAGUGGAACUCCGAGUGUAGAGGUGAAAUUCGUAGAUAUUCGGAAGAACACCAGUGGCGAAGGCGGCUCACUGGUCCGGUACUGACGCUGAGGUGCGAAAGCGUGGGGAGCAAACAGG
rnacentral:rRNA from 1 species